rnacentral:rRNA from 1 species
AGAGUUUGAUCCUGGCUCAGAUUGAACGCUGGCGGCAGGCCUAACACAUGCAAGUCGAACGGUAGCACAGAGAGCUUGCUCUCGGGUGACGAGUGGCGGACGGGUGAGUAAUGUCUGGGAAACUGCCUGAUGGAGGGGGAUAACUACUGGAAACGGUAGCUAAUACCGCAUAACGUCGCAAGACCAAAGAGGGGGACCUUCGGGCCUCUUGCCAUCAGAUGUGCCCAGAUGGGAUUAGCUAGUAGGUGGGGUAACGGCUCACCUAGGCGACGAUCCCUAGCUGGUCUGAGAGGAUGACCAGCCACACUGGAACUGAGACACGGUCCAGACUCCUACGGGAGGCAGCAGUGGGGAAUAUUGCACAAUGGGCGCAAGCCUGAUGCAGCCAUGCCGCGUGUAUGAAGAAGGCCUUCGGGUUGUAAAGUACUUUCAGCGGGGAGGAAGGUGUUGCGGUUAAUAACCGCAGCAAUUGACGUUACCCGCAGAAGAAGCACCGGCUAACUCCGUGCCAGCAGCCGCGGUAAUACGGAGGGUGCAAGCGUUAAUCGGAAUUACUGGGCGUAAAGCGCACGCAGGCGGUCUGUCAAGUCGGAUGUGAAAUCCCCGGGCUCAACCUGGGAACUGCAUUCGAAACUGGCAGGCUAGAGUCUUGUAGAGGGGGGUAGAAUUCCAGGUGUAGCGGUGAAAUGCGUAGAGAUCUGGAGGAAUACCGGUGGCGAAGGCGGCCCCCUGGACAAAGACUGACGCUCAGGUGCGAAAGCGUGGGGAGCAAACAGGAUUAGAUACCUGGUAGUCACGCCGUAAAACGAUGUCGACUUGGAGGUUGUGCCCUUGAGGCGUGGCUUCCGGAGCUAACGCGUUAAAGUCGACCGCCUGGGGGAGUACGGCCGCAAGGUUAAAACUCAAAUGAAUUGACGGGGGCCCGCACAAGCGGUGGAGCAUGUGGUUUAAUUCGAUGCAACGCGAAGAACCUUACCUACUCUUGACAUCCAGAGAACUUUCCAGAGAUGGAUUGGUGCCUUCGGGAACUCUGAGACAGGUGCUGCAUGGCUGUCGUCAGCUCGUGUUGUGAAAUGUUGGGUUAAGUCCCGCAACGAGCGCAACCCUUAUCCUUUGUUGCCAGCGGUCCGGCCGGGAACUCAAAGGAGACUGCCAGUGAUAAACUGGAGGAAGGUGGGGAUGACGUCAAGUCAUCAUGGCCCUUACGAGUAGGGCUACACACGUGCUACAAUGGCGCAUACAAAGAGAAGCGAACUCGCGAGAGCAAGCGGACCUCAUAAAGUGCGUCGUAGUCCGGAUUGGAGUCAGCAACUCGACUCCAUGAAGUCGGAAUCGCUAGUAAUCGUAGAUCAGAAUGCUACGGUGAAUACGUUCCCGGGCCUUGUACACACCGCCCGUCACACCAUGGGAGUGGGUUGCAAAAGAAGUAGGUAGCUUAACCUUCGGGAGGGCGCUUACCACUUUGUGAUUCAUGACUGGGGUGAAGUCGUAACAAGGUAACC